rnacentral:tRNA from 1 species
UGCAAGAGUACCCAAGCGGUUAUGGGGCAGGUCUUAUAAACCUGUUGCGGUAUGUUCGACUCAUACCUCUUGCAU